rnacentral:rRNA from 1 species
UACGUAGGGGGGCUAGCGUUGUCCGGAUUUAUUGGGCGUAAAGAGCGUGUAGGCGGCCAUGUAGGUCCGGUGUGAAAACUCGAGGCUUAACCUCGAGAUGUCAUCGGAAACCAUUUGGCUAGAGUCCGGAAGAGGAGAGUGGAAUUCCUGGUGUAGCGGUGAAAUGCGCAGAUAUCAGGAAGAACACCCGUGGCGAAAGCGGCUCUCUGGAACGGUACUGACGCUGAGACGCGAAAGCGUGGGGAGCGAACAGG